UCCAACACAGCAAACGGUUAGCAACUAACCGUGUCCCACAGAAGUAAAAUCACAAACACCUUAAGUACACACACAUAUAAGCCAAUAACCCAGGAACCCAUGUGCAUCCAACCAUCUUAACUGGGUGCAACACAACAAACAAUUAAAUAACUAACCAUGUUCCACAAAAGCAAAAUCACACAAUGCCUCAAAUGCUUCGAGCCCAUGUAUGACAUAGGAAAAUGCUAUAAAUACGGCCAAUUCAUUACACGGAAAGGGAACUAAUAUAAAGUUUACUUUUUUUCACGUUCAAUCGCAACCUGCUGCAUGAGCAGGCAAGAAAAGAAGUCGUAAAACCCACAUGCUCAUGUCUACGAUGUACCCAACAAUCAGAACUGGGUCCAACACAAGAAAACACAGAACAACAAACCAUAUCCCCAUAGAAGCAAAACCACAAACACCUCGAGUGCAUAAAAGACACAUAACCCAAAACCCCAGUUAAUUUUACCAAACAAUAACAAAGGCAGAGAGGUGAAUACAUACAAGUGGAGAGGGCUCAUCUGGAGGAGAUGGGAGUCAGGAGAAGGAAGAGAGGGAAGGAGGUCGGGUGAGAUGAAAACGGGCAGGCCCUUUCUGGUGGAAAGGAGGAGCGCCGGUGUCUCCAUUGGUUGUGGGCAGUUGGCCAACUGGAGUACCCCGACUCUUGCUCUUCCUUUGCUCCAUGCUGUCACUGCAAACUUCAUUUCGUGGAGGUCUGUUCCGUGUUGGAUAUUCAGGCUUGUCAAUAUCGAUGUAUCAGGUGCUGAGGACAUGAGCUGAGGUUUCCUUUCAACCUUCUAUAGACGAUUCAUAUGUUUGCGCUGCUUUCUAUAUGAUUGAUAACAUAAUUAUUUAAUGUUUUUUUCGAUUAAUUUAGAAUUAUAGUACAUGAUUUCCAUUAUGAUUAAUAGCCUUCUUUAUUUUUAGUUUAAAUCUUAAAGGGUAUAUUUGGUUAUUAGAAAAUUUAAAGGAAAAUACAAAUGAAAAAAAUUAGAGAAGAAAAAUAGAAGAAGAAAAAAAGUGAGAAAAUUAAAAAUAAAUUUAAAAUCAAUAAACUAUUUUUUGUAUACUACUUCAAACUUAUUUUACUUAUUUUAACGCAUCACUAUAAAUAUUAAAUAAUUUAAAAUGCAUAAAUUUUUUACUUGUUUUAAUUAUAUUUAAUUUUAUUUUUGUAUUUUUCAUAAAUAACUAAAUAUGAAAAAAUUAUUUUUUUUAUUUUUUUUUUCUUUCAUUAGUAUUUUCUAGGAAUCAAACCAAAUGUAACCAUUUUUUUUUUUUCAAAGACGCACCACAUGCAUAUAUAACCAUGGCUCACGAAGGUAGUUCUUGAAACUUAUAAAGAUUAUCCUAAGAUUUUGGAACAGAGGUAGUGAAAUUGAAAUGGAGUUUCUCUAUUUUGUAAAAUUAAGGUUAUGAUUUUUAAUGAUUUGUCUAAUUUUUUGUUUUUGUUGUUUAAGAAGCAUCGUGCUUGUCAUUUGCUACAUCCUCAUCUGGCAUUAGAUAAAAAAAUCAAAAGUAUUUUGUCGAAAGAAAGCUAUUGUCAAGGUUUGUCAAUCCCAGGGAAGUUGAGAUGGAUUUUUUUACACAUGUUCAACGAAAGGUUGCAAUUCCUUUGAGUUGUGAGUGCCUUAUUGAAGUCAGAUAGUUGAUGAUGAUGAUUCCUUUUCGUAGUUGGAAGAGAAGAUCAACCUCUAAAGUUCA
rnacentral:lncRNA from 1 species